GUAGCCUGCAACCCGGCUCAUGAAGCUGGAAUCGCUAGUAAUCGCAGAUCAGAAUGCUGCGGUGAAUACGUUCCCGGGUCUUGUACACACCGCCCGUCACACCAUGGGAGCCGGGAAUGCCCGAAGUCGGUGACCCAACCGUAAGGAGGGAGCCGCCGAAGGCAGGCCUGGUAACUGGGGUGAAGUCGUAACAAGGUAUC
rnacentral:rRNA from 1 species